GGCAGUGUAGCUCAGCUGGUUAGAGCGUGGCACUCAUAAUGCCAAGGUCGGUGGUUCGAGCCCACUCACUGCUACCA
rnacentral:tRNA from 2 species